rnacentral:rRNA from 1 species
UACGUAGGGUGCGAGCGUUAAUCGGAAUUACUGGGCGUAAAGCGUGCGCAGGCGGUUAUGUAAGACAGGGGUGAAAUCCCCGGGCUUAACCUGGGAACUGCAUUUGUGACUGCAUAGCUAGAGUACGGUAGAGGGGGAUGGAAUUCCGCGUGUAGCAGUGAAAUGCGUAGAUAUGCGGAGGAACACCGAUGGCGAAGGCAAUCCCCUGGACCUGUACUGACGCUCAUGCACGAAAGCGUGGAGAGCAAACAGG